GGGGAUGGAAGGGUCCCGGUGGACUCCUCGGUCUUCAAAACCGGUGGCGGGCUGUCAGGCAGGCCGCGGUGGGUUCGACUCCCAUCCAUUCCCGC
rnacentral:tRNA from 1 species